rnacentral:rRNA from 1 species
UAGCCACGGUAAAACCGGCCCCGCGAGUGGUCGGGGUGUUUACUGGGCCUAAAGCGCCCGUAGCCGGCCCGGUAAGUCUCCUCCUAAAUCCUCGGGCUCAACCCGAGGGUUGGAGGAGAUACUGCCGGGCUAGGGGCGGGAGAGGCCGAGGGUACUCCCGGGGUAGGGCGAAAUCCGUUAAAUCCCGGGAGGACCACCCGUGGCGAAGGC